rnacentral:rRNA from 1 species
UACGAAGGGGGCUAGCGUUGCUCGGAAUUACUGGGCGUAAAGGGCGCGUAGGCGGCCUGCUAAGUCGAACGUGAAAUCCCUGGGCUCAACCCAGGAACUGCGUCCGAUACUGGUUGGCUUGAAUCCGGGAGAGGGACGUGGAAUUCCAGGUGUAGCGGUGAAAUGCGUAGAUAUCUGGAGGAACACCGGUGGCGAAGGCGACAUCCUGGACCGGCAUUGACGCUGAGGCGCGAAAGCCAGGGGAGCAAACGGG